rnacentral:rRNA from 1 species
GGCGUGCCUAUACAUGCAAGUCGAGCGAAUGGAUUAAGAGCUUGCUCUUAUGAAGUUAGCGGCGGACGGGUGAGUAACACGUGGGUAACCUGCCCAUAAGACUGGGAUAACUCCGGGAAACCGGGGCUAAUACCGGAUAACAUUUUGAACCGCAUGGUUCGAAAUUGAAAGGCGGCUUCGGCUGUCACUUAUGGAUGGACCCGCGUCGCAUUAGCUAGUUGGUGAGGUAACGGCUCACCAAGGCAACGAUGCGUAGCCGACCUGAGAGGGUGAUCGGCCACACUGGGACUGAGACACGGCCCAGACUCCUACGGGAGGCAGCAGUAGGGAAUCUUCCGCAAUGGACGAAAGUCUGACGGAGCAACGCCGCGUGAGUGAUGAAGGCUUUCGGGUCGUAAAACUCUGUUGUUAGGGAAGAACAAGUGCUAGUUGAAUAAGCUGGCACCUUGACGGUACCUAACCAGAAAGCCACGGCUAACUACGUGCCAGCAGCCGCGGUAAUACGUAGGUGGCAAGCGUUAUCCGGAAUUAUUGGGCGUAAAGCGCGCGCAGGUGGUUUCUUAAGUCUGAUGUGAAAGCCCACGGCUCAACCGUGGAGGGUCAUUGGAAACUGGGAGACUUGAGUGCAGAAGAGGAAAGUGGAAUUCCAUGUGUAGCGGUGAAAUGCGUAGAGAUAUGGAGGAACACCAGUGGCGAAGGCGACUUUCUGGUCUGUAACUGACACUGAGGCGCGAAAGCGUGGGGAGCAACAGGA